rnacentral:rRNA from 1 species
AUUAAACGCUGGCGGCAUGCCUUACACAUGCAAGUCGAACGGCAGCACGGGGGCAACCCUGGUGGCGAGUGGCGGACGGGUGAGUAAAGCAUCGGAACGUAUCCUGGAGUGGGGGGAUAACGUAGCGAAAGUUACGCUAAUACCGCAUAUUCUGUGAGCAGGAAAGCAGGGGAUCGCAAGACCUUGCGCUCUGGGAGCGGCCGAUGUCGGAUUAGCUAGUUGGUGGGGUAAAGGCCUACCAAGGCGACGAUCCGUAGCGGGUCUGAGAGGAUGAUCCGCCACACUGGGACUGAGACACGGCCCAGACUCCUACGGGAGGCAGCAGUGGGGAAUUUUGGACAAUGGGCGGAAGCCUGAUCCAGCCAUGCCGCGUGAGUGAAGAAGGCCUCGGUUGUAAG